ensembl:lncRNA
CUGAUUAAUUCCUCAAAAGUCAUGUUGUCCUAUCCCCUGAGCACAUAAAAUGUUAAUUGAGAUUCUGUCUUUAAAGAGCUCAGAACAGCACCUGGGCAUAGCAAGCACUCUAUGCACAUUAAACCAACUUUUAAAUAUGAUAAUAAGCAUUUGAACAUUUGUGGCUCAUAAGAGGUCUGAGGGGUGUGGGGAAGUGAGCUGAACGUCUGGUCCUUCAAGGACAGGGAGGACAAAGCUCAUGGGAUCUCUCUCUGCCUUAAAAGUCGCAGGAAUCUCGGUGGGGGAAAGGGAACUGGUGAUAACGAGCCAGUCUGUGUGCCUCUGGGAAUCACGUUGUGGCUCACAUGCACUCUGGGUCCCUCGCCAAACCUGCGUUCCCAGCCUGCCUUUCCUUCAAAAUGGACAAUACAUGCAGGGAACUCCCACAGGGGCCAUGAGAUGCCAGCAGUCAUAACUGGGCUUCCGGUGGCCCAAGAACCCCCGAGACAUUGGGCAAAAUUGUCUAUGUGCAUUUUUCAGAUGGGGGGAUCAGAGCUUUCAUUAAACUUUCAAAGGACUGAGAUCCAAAGAACCAGUUAUCUCUAGGACUAUAGGAAUCCAUGCCGGAGCUCGGCUCCAGCAAUGUCCCAGCCAAGCCCUGCCUCCAAGCCCCACAGAGGAAUCGCUGUCUGUCACAUGAAAUCAGGACCGGAGUUGGACUGAGCCUGAAUUGCCCAUCUGAGGAUGGCUGACAGUGCUUACAUUGCUUUUAAAUUUAUAUCCUGUGCAGGUUUUUAACAACUAUGCUUUAUUUAAAUACCCCACGCUCUUCAGGAAUCGGCAAGCCUUCGGGAUGUCGCAGAGCCCUAACGCUGUAGAUGGCAGCUGCAGAGAAAGGCUGAAGCCUGAGGGCGCACGUUCUCUGUGAUGCUCCCAGGUCAGGUCACAGAAUGAGGCUUUCUAUGGCACCUCCCCCAGGGCCAUCCACCACCACCCACAAUCCCUUCCCCAGCUGUCGUCUGGGAGGGAAGUUUCUGGGGGAAUCUUCUGUCUUAUGAGGAGAAGGCGUGCUGAGAGGGAAGCACUGUCUCUGGGGUGAGGUGAGAGGCUCUGCAUGAGGUUCCCAUGGCUGCUGUAAUUAAAUAUCCCAAACUGAGUGGCUUAAAACCAUAGAAACUCAGCAUCUUCCAGCUCUAGAGGCCAGAGGUCUGACAUCAAGGUGUCAUAGAGCCGUGCUUCCUCUGAAAUGUGUAGGGGGGGUUCCUUCCUGUGUCUUCUGGCUUCUGGUGGUGGCCGACCAUCCUCGGUGCUCCUUGGCUUGCAGUGACAUCACUGCAGGCUCUGCCUCUGUCGUCACAUGGGGUUCUCCCUAUGUGUCUUUGUCCAGCUCUCACUCUCCUUCUAAGGACGUCAGUCAUACUGGAUUAGGGACCACCCUAAUGACCUCAUCUUACCUUGAUGACAUCUGCAAAGACCCUAUUUCCAAAAAAGGUGACAUUCACAGGUACCAGGGUUAGGACUUGAAUGUGUCUUUUGGGGGAACACAAUUCAACCACAAUGGUCACAUCACCUCAAAAGACCCUGCCACCUCAGUCCCAUGUGUUGCCCCUUGUCCACACCCACUUCUUCCCCUGCGCUCUUCGGGUGGUGGGUGCCCCCUUCCCUCUGGUGGUGAUAGCUGAGCUUCUUCCCUUUGGUCAGCAGGCUGAAGUGGAGAGUUUUUCUCCUGCAUCUCAGUCCUGUAGGAAGUGAGUUCCUUCGAGAUUGGGAUGUGUGAGUCGGAAGUGUGCAUGUCUGUGUGUAUGUGUCUCUGUGUGCACGUGUGUGCCUGUGGGUGUGAGUGUGUGUCUGUGUGUAUUUCUCUGUGUCAGUGUGUCUGUAUGUGUGUUUGGCAGGGGGAUUCAUGAAGGGUGGGCACAAGGGAGGAAUGGGAGGCAGGAAGGCCAGAGGAAGACAGAGCCACAGCAGUGAGGAUAGAAAUGACAAGGGCAGAAGAGGCAGUGUCCUGUGACAAGAGGGGAGUGUGUUUGUGACAAACGUGGAAAUAUUAUGCCAUUGGUCUCAGACCCGUAAGGUAGGUAUAUUAAUUAUGAUAUUGAUUCGGCUACUUUAACAGAAACCAAAAUAACAGUGACUCAAGGAAGAUUGGAGUUGGUUUCUCUGUCCUAUAAAGUUGGAGCUGAUGGGUGAUCCAGGAAGGUAAGGAGACCCUGCUCCAUGAUGCUGCCCAGGGUCCCACACUCUUCUUGCUCUGCCACCUGUGAACAUACUGCUCAUUUCCAGAGUCAAAGCUGGCUCACCACUUCAUCCAUGUCCCAGCUACUGGAAAAGGGGAAAAGGGAAGUGGAGAAUGCCUCCCUUCCUUCUCAAAGAUAUUGCGCUCAUCAACCCACUUCUACCAGCCAGAACUUCAUCAUGUGACCUUGCUAGGUGCAAGGGAGUCUGGGAAAUACAGCUCUUACUCUCAAAGGCCCUGAUCUCAGGGAUUCUGCUAAAAUUAACAAGGCAAGGACAGAUAUUGGGGCACAGCUGACAGCCUAUUAUAGAAGGAGUGUGAUUUUAGAGAAAUAGUGUUAUUAUUCCACCCUUCACCCUUUACAAGAGCCCCCAACCGUAUCCAUAUAAUAAAGACUAUAAGAGGCCUAUGAUUAGAAAAAUCAGAUUGUCAAGUAGGAUUUGUGCAGUUUUAGCCAGUUGUGGGGUCAUGAUGAAGGGUCCAUCUCAGGAAGGUAUGUGCCUGGCUGUUCCACAGCCAGCUCGUUUUCAAUGACAUAACACGCCCUGUAGCUCUCCAGAAUCCGGGACUGGAAGUACUUCUUGUCCUUCUCCUGCCAGGUGUCAGACUCGAUGUACACAUUGAAUGGGUCGUGGGAGUGCUCCAGCUUCUUGGAGCGGAUGUAACUCAGCAUGAUGCCCAGGGUGAAGAAGCCGAAGAAGCCAAGCACCAUGAGAAUGUAGAGUGCCUCAAGCUUGCCGUCCUCGUUGCUGGGGGACCUGCGGGCUGGGCUAGACGUGUUGCUGCCCUGUUGAACUGUCUCCCCUGCCACAGCUUGGCCAGAAAGGGCAUCACAGCUGUGGUGUUAGACAGGAUCAUCCUGGGCUUCAAUGUUCCACUGCUGGAGAGGGAACGUCCUGGAAAAGUGAAACUUGAAAUCAAAAAGUAUGUAUUGGUCAAAAGCCCCAUAUAUGCACACACACACACACACACACAAUUUUUUUAAAUCUCAUAUAAGAGGGUGCCCUAACGUUCUCCUCAGUGCAUGGGACAUGCCAUCUUGGAGCUGCACAACACCCUCUCUUGAUUGAUCAGUUGAUCAAUUGAUUUCCUUUUAUUUCCAUUUACUGCUCCCACUCCCCACGACCACAGGGAACCACCAGAAUGAGUUCAUUUAAUAUACACUUUGUGUUGUAUGUGUGCAUUUCAGUUUAUGUGCUGUGGAUCAAAUUGUGUCCCUUACACUCAAUUCACAUGGUUGAAGCACUAACCCCCAAUGUGACUGCAUCUGGAGAUAGGUCUUCAGGAGGUAAUUAAGGUUCAAUGAGGUCCUAAGGGCAGGACCCUAAUCUGAAAGGCCUGUGGCCUUAUAAGAAGAGAGAGCGAGAUCUA